CGAAAAAACCCCGUGGGCGGGAAGGCCUAAUGCUCGUCUUAUUUCGCCUUAACCCUACCGCCUCGACCUCCUUCGCAACCCUAAGAAGGAUGCCUCCUUCCUUGCCGAGAUGGCCGACUUCCUCCGAAGCGCCCCCGCCGUCGCCUUGCAACCCUCUCUCGAUGUAGAGAAGAGAAGAAGGCUGACUCGGAUGGGGGUUUUGGGAGUGGCGGUGCCCCAUUAGGUGGGCAUGCGAUCGGUGAUUCUGCGGCAGAAGGGAUUCUAAUGUGCCUACAAGAACUUUGAAAGAAAUGCCAUCUUGGGUCUGUGGAUCAGUUUAGCGAGUGUGGGAAAUUCUUUAUGGCAAGCAAAGGAGGGCACCGGCCACAGCCAGUAAAUGAAUGUGAUAUUUAUUCAGCUGUUUCUGAUCAUCCCUGAUGCAGCAAGACUUCCCUGACUAUAGUGAUCAAUUGUUACCUGAAUUUGGAUCUGCAACAUGUGCUCCAAUUAUUCAUGUUGCUGAAUUUGGAUGCAGCAAGACAUCGCCUCCUCUCGUCCCUUUCCUCGCAAAUCGCCAGAUAUUCAUCCCCUCUCUUUCUUGACCAUAUUUCUUCGUGCUUUUUUUUUUUUUUCCAUUCUUCUAUUGUUUUGGUAUCUGAAAGGACCUGAAUUCUAGGUUUUCGUUGGGUUUCCAUCAAACUUCUUCGUGCAAAUUUCCUCAUGGUCCUUUUCUUUCUUGAUCAAUAUUUCUUCGAUCUUGUCCUGUCGAAUGGGUUCUUGACUUGAUUUAAGUUUUUAGGUGUUGUUUUUUUUGGUGGCCAGAUGAGCGAGGAGCCAUAGGAGGCCGUUGAUCGAUUGAGGAAACUUUUGAGGACGUAGGGGCUUGUCGGUGGAAAGUGGUUUGAUGACUACGAUGCCAAGACUGUUCAGCACCUUGCUGAUUCUCCUUCCAAACAAAUCGAGAUAUUGGACCCAAAUCAAUCAGCAUCUUCUUCAACUAAAAUCGAAUGCUUACAAUCUGAUAUAGUUGCCUUAAAUUAAAUUGAGAGCUUCUAUCUUGCCAAAGUUACUUGUAAGAAUUACUGUCUCUUUUUUGUAGAUCUUUUCUUUCAACUAAGCGUUUAUGGUUUUCUAAUUAUUUGGAAUGAACAUGCACUAGUAAAGCAUGAACACAUUGAUAACCCAGAGGAGGUGGGAACACAACUUUCUGGUUAAUGCCAAUUCAACCCCAAUUCAAUCUGCACUCUGAAGAAGCUAAUAUGAGUAAAAUAUGCCACGUUUGUUGAAGCACCAGCGCAUGAAAUUCUGUUUAAUAUAGGUAACAAAUAUUUUCCUGUUCAUGUUUUUUUUUCAAGCAUUAAUAGCAUAAUCAUAAUGUACCAUAUAUUUGUUGAUUUUUUAUUAAUAGCAUACUGUACCAUAUAACUGUUGAUUUUUUUUCUAGUUCACAUGUCAAGAUUUUCUUUGUAGAUUGCAAUAGAAGUGAUGAUAUUCUUGUGUUUGCUUUAGUUGAAAGGGUUACAAGAUUGGAGUAUAACUAUCUUCCUUAAAUGAGCGUGGGUGUAAUAUGCCCUCCCACAUGCUAAAGAAGAGUUAAAAUACAUUUAGUUAGCAUUGUCUUCCUUGUAUAUUGGCAUUCUUGACAUAGAAAGCUAAUCGUUUUGCUUUGAGCAACAUGCAUAUAUGACCCUUAUCGUUGAAUGACCAAUAUCAAUUAUUAUUCUUACUGCAACUCAAUCACUAGUUAGGAUAAAGAAUGCCUCUUAUGGUAUUGCAGCAAGGUGUUACCAAGCUGGUUUUGCCUAAAUUGUGUGAUACCCUUGCGUGUCUGUCUACAAAGGGGCAGCUUUCCUAAAACCACUUAUGGUCCCUUAAGGAUAGAAGAUGGGUUAAAAAAAACAUUUAACUUUCGAUCCACAAGCAAUCAUUUUAGUAAACACAUAAUAGACAAUGUAAGUUAUAAACACAGACUUCGCAAGCUUUGAACGGUGGUUCACCAUGGUCCAAAGUCCUGAUAAGUGCCCACAUGACAUUACUACUGAAUAAGGCAACGAACCAGCCUUAGAUACUACCCCAAAGACCCAUCUAGUCAUGUGUCACCCGGGUAGCUCCUAGGUGUUGUAUUAGUUGACACUCUACAUCACUUCGCGGAGCUAAAAAACCCUAAAAAUAACUACUUGGAUGGCUUGUUUCUAGGUAAUUUUGUCUUUACGUGAUGAUUGCACAUAACUUGCAUUUAUAAGUCUGAAAUGAUCAUAAAAGCCAACCAAAUUGGGGUUAUCAAAUCUACUACAAGCAUUCUACAUGUGUAAAGCAUCAACACAGUCUUAUGGAUUUGCAUUUGAUAUGUUUUUUUCUUAAUUUUGCCUCAACUAUUGCACUCCAUUUCGAGAUGGACGAAAAGCUUGAUCGCAUGGUGACUCACCUUAGCCUCAGGAUGAAGAUAUGCUCGAGCCCUUGCUUGCUAAGAUACUCCCUUAUUAUAUCUUUUCUUCUGCCUCUCCUAACACAUUGUAAUCAUUAUUUUGUUGAUUUUGUUGUAUCGAAAGUGAUAAUGAUGGAAAAUAAUAAUUCGAAAUGGCAGACGUCACAUGA